AUUGAACGCUGGCGGCAGGCCUAACACAUGCAAGUCGAGCGGAUGAAGGGAGCUUGCUCCUGGAUUCAGCGGCGGACGGGUGAGUAAUGCCUAGGAAUCUGCCUGGUAGUGGGGGAUAACGUCCGGAAACGGGCGCUAAUACCGCAUCCGUCCUGAGGGAGAAAGUGGGGGAUCUUCGGACCUCACGCUAUUAGAUGAGCCUAGGUCGGAUAGCUAGUUGGUGGGGUAAAGGCCUACCAAGGCGACGAUCCGUAACUGGUCUGAGAGGAUGAUCAGUCACACUGGAACUGAGACACGGUCCAGACUCCUACGGGAGGCAGCAGUGGGGAAUCUUGGGCAAUGGGCGAAAGCCUGAUCCAGCCAUGCCGCGUGUGUGAAGAAGGUCUUCGGAUUGUAAAGCACUUUAAGUUGGGAGGAAGGGCAGUAAGUUAAUACCUUGCUGUUUUGACGUUACCAACAGAAUAAGCACCGGCUAACUUCGUG
rnacentral:rRNA from 1 species